rnacentral:misc_RNA from 1 species
UCCUGAGCGGCACUGUGAACC